GCGAAACAUCAAGAGCAGUUGCUACGCAGCAUUGAUUUGCUGAUGGUGGCAAACUCACCAACCGAGUUUACAGGAACCACGGUGGUUAAGGUACGAUGUGGAAGUUUUCUAUAUUCAUCACUUCAAACAUUUCCUGAUAU
rnacentral:ncRNA from 2 species